UUACAGUGUUGUUUGGUGUAAAUGUUUGUGUUGUGCUUUUGUUUUAAAUAAAGUGAGCGGAGGUUUCCGAAGACGCUCAAGAUGAUUUGAAGCUUAGGCGGAUAAAUGCAAGAUACAACUGCUUUUGGCAUUCCAGCAUGGCAUCACCAGGCUCUCUACGGUGAAAAACUGGCAGAGCUUAUAUUGCCAGACAAACUAUCAAUCCAAAAUCAAACCAGUAUUUUCACAUGACAGGACCAUGCCACUUAGAAGGUGCAUGGUUCAGUAACACAGGAAGCACAGCAGUGUGGCACAGUUCUGCAUCAAGGUCACAUUUUCUCAUUGAACAUUCCAUGCUGUGAUUCUGUGGCACCAUUGAGAGCAAUAUCCUACCAGCAGAGCUCACAGUGGAAAAACACAUGGAAAACAAUUCCAAAGUCUAGGCAGCCAGGGGAAUUUGUGUGUCGUAUGUGUGGCAAAGUGUACAGGUAUCAGCGGAAUUUGGCAAGUCACAUCAAACAUGAAUGUGGAAAGGAACCUCAAUUUCGCUGUCCAUAUUGUACAUUACGUUACACUCAGAAUGGUGCAUUAAGGAGUCACAUUAGAAGAUACCAUGAAGCAGAUUGCAACAUAAGAUGAUAGUGUACUGCUGGACGUGAUGGUUGCAAUGCCGUGGACAGAUACUGAUAUACUGCAACACACCAUUUUACUCUUUUCAAACCAAAUCUAGUAUCUUUGUCAUCUAAUUUGUGUGCCACAUUUUGUCCAGAGACUUCUCAGUACUCUCGUAUCUUCUUUUUGUGUACUCAUAAAUGUUGUGAGCAAUAAAUUCUUUUCUUGCCAUGUGGCUUAUUAGACAUCCAACAAUUUUCACAUUCAGUGCUGGCAUUCACAAUUUUUUGUUACCUGUUCUAGCCAGUCUCAAGUGAUAGAGCCUAAUCAACAUUAAUUCUAUAUUUCACUAAUUUUUCUAUUUCCAAUACAUAAUAGAUAUCUUUUGUAAGGAUGCUUCAUUUUGCUGUACCUAACUUUUAUGACUUUACUACCAAUUCGGUUACAUUUUUUUGUAAUUCUUCUGUUGUCUUUCUCUGUCAGAUGCAUUAUCUUAUUCUAAAUUAUCAUUUUUUUCGUAUGAUGCUUACUUAGAUCCUUAUAAGUAAUUUAUGUUGGGGAAACUUCACUUUAUUUGAAACAAUUUUUUCUAAUUCUAUUAAGUGGCUCAUCCCUUCAGGUUUCCACUUUCUUAUUGAUUUUCUAUUUGUUAUGUUGUGGUCUUAUUCUCUGUGUACCUUAAUCAUUAUGAGCUCUCAAUUACGUUUCUAAGUUAGUUAUCAGGUGGCAUUUAAAGUAUCUUCAAAAUGUUUUAAAAUUUGCAUGUUGUUCAGUAAUUAAGUGAGACUAAAUGAAAUUUCAGAAAUUUGAAGCAUGUACUGAAAGAACAAUUCCAUAAUGUCCAGUAUUUUUUUUUAUAUCCCACUCUACAAUACAAUAUUUUGAGUGAACAAUUCUUAUCUGUUUCUUUUCUAAUCUUAUAAAUAUGAUGUCUGCAUGAAAGAACAAUUAACAAUGGUAGUAGUAUGUCCACCCCUUGUACCUGUUGUCAUUUUGUGUUAUGUACAUAGGCAGCAUUCUGUCACGUUAUAUGUAGUUUAUGUUGUAUGUAAAUAAAUACUGCUGUGCCUAUAACUAA